CAUUUCAUCCUCUUCUUGUUUCACUUUUUCAAUUUGCACAAAAGGGGGGAGUUUGCUCGUCAUAAAAUUUCACUUUGGCCAACCUAUCAUUUGCAUCUGAGCCAAUAAAUAGCAAUUAGCAUAAACAUUUAAAUCAGGAACUGGAACAAAUUCUUGUUCCCCCAGCAAGCUGUUAAAUUACAGUAUUUCACUAUAUAUAAGAAGCAUUAGAAACAAGAUCUGCUGGGCACAAUUAUCCCUUUCAAACAAGACCUGCUUGAAAAAAAAAAAAAAAUCACUUGCUGGGCAAACUUCUUGCUCACAGCCAAUGAGCUUAAUCAAUGUUGAGAGAAGCCACACCAUUAAUGAUGUUCAACUAAGCCCUAUUUCAAACUUUCCAUCUAAAGGUCAGCCUGAGCUUUACAACUCUUGCUUUUCUUGUGGUAUGCUAAUUAUGUCAACACAUGUUUAGCUGAGCGUGACUCUGACUUGUUUAUGAUGUGGUAAACCAGGAAUAACUCUGUAAAUGCCAAUAUUCUCAACAGGAAGUAAGAGUUACUUCCAUUUUGCAGCUGGGGAACCUGCAGCACCAACAGAUUAAAUGAUUUGCUGAAGGUCAUGCAGCAAGUCUGAAAUGCAGCCACAGUUGGCAUUUGGGUCUUAAAUAUACAUCUAGAUCUAGAUUUCACUCUUUCAAAUGUAUGAGCAGAGAGAAUUGAAGUCACAUAUGAAUCAAUUCUCCCUUAAGGUUAUUUAGGCUCCUUUUGAGAACAUUACUUUCUAAAGCAGUUUUGAAGAUGUAUGACAAAGUAGUAAGCUUUUUGCACACUGACCAGUGCAGGUUAAGUAGCACCUCAGAGCAAUUUAAUGUAAUUCCCUCAAAUACACUAAUUUUAAGAUGCUAAUGAAAGUUGCUUUAAUUGUUAAGUUGGGUUUGUUUGCUUGUUUUGCUGUUGUUUUUGUUGUUGUUGUUUUUGUUUGUAUUUAGAUUGGAAUGGUGAAUUGGAGUAAGUACAGUAAAAAGAAGAAGGAAAGUGAAAAUUAAUAAAACUGGAACAGCAAAACAGAGCUGUUAUUCAAGUGUUCAAGAUUUCUGAAGUGCUGGCUGGGAGUACUUGCUGAAUCUCCAUUAAGAGCAGCGUUGUCCUUUACCCAAAGCUCUUCACUCAUAAGAAGAAAGUGCAUCUAAAAAUCUAUAGUAGAAGAGCUCUCAUUCCAGUGUAGCAUGUAUUAACUUUUCUCAUGUUAAGUUUUCCAAAACAACAACAAAAAUAAUUAAAAAAACUUAUGGAUAAUUUUUGAGUCCCUGCUCAAAGGGAGAAAUAAGUAUCUAAUACUCUGUCUUUUCUCCCAUCAAAUGCCAGUCCUUGUUUUUGUGUUUAGUCUACACCCAAACUUUCAGUUAACAGACAAGAUUCAGUCUUUUACCUCAAGUGAAAUUUUGAUUGAAAGUCUCUCUGAGGCAACCACAUUUUGGAUUUUCCCUUGUCUGAGGUUUAUAUUAAAAUAGGUGAAUUUUUCUCUGGGUACGUUUUUCUGUAGCCUGCAUGUUAGUACCAAGAUACUAACAAGUGAAGUGUUUGGGUAUUUCAACAGUAUAGAAUUAUAAAAUCAUUAAGGUUGGAAAAGACCUCCAAGAUCAUCUGGUACAGCCAUCCCCCUACUGUCACCCACUAAACCAUGUCCCUGGGCACCAAGUCCAUCCUUUUCUUAACAGAUUAAUAGAAUCAUCAAGGUUGGAAAAGACCUCCAUGUUAUAUCUGCAUGUUACAUCUGAAGAUCAGAGAGGUGAAUAAGUAUCAUUAUCAUUACCAUGAAUGUGAAAACUAAGGGCUGAUUUGUAGACAGAAGUGCAUUAUUUAAACUGACAGUGUUAAUUAAACUGGUAGACUAAAACUAAUACAAAAAUCUCUUCAAAAUCUUAUUACAUUUUGGAAGACUUAGGAAGAAUUAAUAUACUAACAUCUGCAUGCAGCACUAUACAAAUUUGAUUAAAUUAUUUUUAAAACAGAGAUGACAACGUUUCUGGAUGUGCACAGAAUUUGAAAAGUCAUGAUAGGUUCAGUGGUUUGAUGUAAGGUCAUAUAGUUGCAGACUUGAAUCCGAGACCUGUGUCUACAAGGCUUGUUAAUAUGAUUAUUUUUUACCUUAUGGAAGUUUAUGAAUAGGUAUAUGGUAUUACUCUGGAAGUGUUAUUUUCCAUUUCUAUAUAAUUGCUGUGACCAUAUCUUCAUAAUAUAUCUAUCUUAAAUGUAGUAGGAUGAAAAACAUAGUUGAAAACAAAAUUUUAAGUAUUCCUAAGAUAUUAAUAAAGAACAAUGUGUUAAUUUUAGAUAACAUGUAUUUAAAAAAAUGACCUUUAGUCACAAAAUUUAGAGGUUCAGUUUUGUAAAAUGUAUAGGUUAACAUUUGCAAAAAAGGAAUCCUGGGUGUUGUUUGAGCUGUCCUCCAGAACACCCUUGCGGAAAUCAUCCUUCAGAGAUGCUUAAGUUUGGCCACCUGAUGUUCUUUCAUUGCAUGCAUAUACCGAGGCAUUUCAGUUUCUCAUGCUUGCAGGAAGAACCUUUUCUGUACCAGUGAAAAGUCUUGAUAACAGCAAUAGUUAAAAUUAGGAUAAUGUUCUGUAUACAGUCAUAUGCAUUUUAUAAUUGUGCUGGAUAAGUAACAGGUUUUUGCUUGUCAGGUUCUUAAAAAACUUCUAGGGGGUUUCCUUGUGAAGCUGAAUAAAAUUAAGUGUGGAUAUAAUACAAAAGUGAAGGUUGAAGAGAAACAAAUGAAAAAAUAGCUGAAGAUAACUGAAAUACAUGUACUUUUGUACUCUGGAGCUGUGUGCCUCAAAGAGAAAAUUAUCAAAAAAAAAAAAAAAAA